UGGGAUCAAAACUAAGGCACAUCGAAUUCCUCAUAGUAUCAUCUUUGGGUUACUCAGGAACCAAAGCUUUUCACACCAAUAUAAGAAAUUCUACUAAGGAAUCCCUUUACCUAACCAUCUCACCAGGCUUCAACCAGAUUCCAGAAAAGACUUCUGAUACAUCAAGAUAGAACCUA
rnacentral:lncRNA from 1 species